rnacentral:rRNA from 1 species
GAUGAACGCUGGCGGCGUGCUUAACACAUGCAAGUCGAGCGGGCAAUUUAUCUAGCACUGAUUACUUCAAAUGGAAAUCAUAAGUGUAAUCAUGAAUUUCUACCUUUAAUAAAGAAAAAGAAAUUCAUGUACGCAAAUAGUGAUAACACAUUUUAGUGAAGUGAUGAGUGCUGGAUAAAUUGCUAGCGGCGGACGGGUGCGUAACACGUGGGGUAACCUGCCCCUAUCACUGGGAUAACACACUGAAAAGUGUGCUAAUACCAGAUAAUAUAAGCUUUUGGCAUCAUUAGCCUAUCAAAGAAUUUCGGAUAGGGAUGGGCCCGCGUCUGAUUAGCUAGUUGGUGAGGUAACGGCUCACCAAGGCAACGAUCAGUAGCCGACCUGAGAGGGUGAUCGGCCACACUGGAACUGAGACACGGUCCAGACUCCUACGGGAGGCAGCAGUGGGGAAUAUUGCACAAU